rfam:Anolis carolinensis chromosome LGf cont2.15053, whole genome shotgun sequence.
AAAAAAAGCAUUGCACCCAGGGUCUGACAGCCAGACAUUGCACCUGGAGCUUUUCUGUUUUGGAAUAAAAAUGUG